CAGACAUCCUAUUGUGGGACCCUGUGAUUGUGAGACUUUAAUACAAAAUUACCGUGUACUUCAUCUACAAUAUGUCUUCUGCUGCUGAUCUAGAUCUGAGCUGUCCGAUACAGCUGCCAGAAGCCACAGGUGACGUUAUAUUCCUAUUCGAAGACCAAGAGCUCAAAACAUCAUUCCUCCCCCAAAUGAAAAAAUGUCUGGGAAAAAUUACUAAUCUACUUCUCUGAAACCCAUUUGGGAAGCUGGCCCAAUUCGAGUUCUAUACUCAAAAGGCAAACGUAAAGACUAAACCUGUAAGUGUGCCUGUAUGUAGAUGACUUCUUACAAGACCUCCUAAUGAGAGUAAUGGCAGAAAUAGGGGAAAUGAAAAUUAAGACAAGUUUUGCAAGUGUUAUUCCAAAGAAUCCAGAAUAUUUCCAUUUUGCCCAUGGUGAAACUAUCCAAGGAAGGUUAAGUAAUUUGGAUUGGUCAGGAUGUGAACCUAGGCCAGUCUGACUUUUAAGCCUGUGAUUUUUCUGUUAUCCCAUGACAUGGUGUACACUACAAGAAAUGCUAAUCUUAAUAACAUAGCUACCUGUAUUGAGAGCUCAUUAGGUCCGGUACUGUUCUAAGCACUUUGCUUCUAUCUCUCACUCAGCAUAUUUUAGUGAGCUCUUUAUUGAUUUACAAGAUUAUGCAUCUAUGAACUCAGUCACACUGGCUAUUAAUUAAAUUCCCUUCAAGUUUGUAAAAAAUUAAUUGACAUUUCAUUCUUUUUUCAGAAGACACCAGGUUUUUAGCCUUGGAUCAAGAUGUCUCAAAAAAAAUUCAGUAAAAAUCUAGAUCUUGCUCAGCUCCAAAUUCUUGUACUGCUUUCAGAGUACUGAGAUCAUUGUAGCCCAAACAUGCAAUGGCAUUUUAUAAGCCUCUUGAACUCUGAGGACUAAGCUCUGAUUUUUUUUAAUCUUGUCCAAAUUCCUAUCUAAGGGGUCUGGGGAGUC
rnacentral:lncRNA from 1 species